rnacentral:rRNA from 1 species
AUGGCUUCUAUAUGGCAGGCAAAACUGCUCUUUCUUGCAUUGCUCCUCGCAUUCGCCACCACCUCCUACGCCCAUGGUGGUGGUAGCCUCGAGCUCCGAUGCCAUCCAGACCAGGCUGCAACGCUCCUCCAGCUAAAGAAAUCCUUCUUCUUCGAUGAAGCCGCUACCAGCCUUUCAUCCUGGAAAGAAGGUACGGACUGUUGUCGCUGGGAGGGUGUUGGCUGUGGUGGCUCCUCUGGUCGGGUCACGGCACUCAGUCUCAGCCGCUUGGGCUUGAUGAGGAGCAAAGGCCUUAACCCUGUGAUCUGCAAUCUCACCUGCCUAAAGUUUCUCGAUCUUAGCAUGACUGACUUUUCUGAAUAUAACAUGUCAGCUGUUGGGCUCGAGAGGCUUACUUUUCUUACCCACCUCAACCUCUCCAAUUCGAAUCUUGAGGGUGAAAUACCUGCUGGCAUCGGCAAGCUUAAGAAUCUUGUCUCCUUGGAUCUUUCUAGUGAAGAUCCUAGUGACGACGAAUCUGAUAUUCAUGUUGUUAGCCUACCUAACUCACUGUGGAUAUCUGAUUUUCAAGCCCUAGUGGGGAACCUCAGCAAUUUAAGAGAGCUCCGCCUAGACGAUAUAUCUGAUUGUGGAUUUCUAGGGCGAAUGCCAUCUUCAAUUGGUAAUCUUGUGAAUUUGAGAAGCCUGAGUUUACAUUCUUCUUACUUUUCUGGGAAAAUUCCAUCUACAAUUGGCAAUCUCACAAAUUUAAGAAGACUGGAUAUCAGUGAUUGUGGAUUUAUUGGGCCAUUGCCAACUGCAAUAGGCAAUCUCGCGGAUUUGAGAAGCCUGACUAUUUAUUCUUCUGGAUUUUCUGGGCCAAUACCAUGUACAAUUGGCUUUCUUACAAACUUGGAAAGCUUGAGAUUCUUCAACUCAAAAUUUACUGGGACAAUACCCUACACAAGUGGCAAUCUAAGUAGCUUGCAGAGCAUGGAUUUCACCCUGUGCAAGCUUUCUGGGCCAAUACCACAUGAAGUUGGGAAACUUAAGGAAUUGACAGCACUAGCGCUUGGAGUAAACACUUUUUCUAGGGGAAUACCUUAUUCAAUUGGGGUAAUUCCAGCAUCUCUCUUCAAUGUUCCAUUACAAUACCUGGAUCUGUCUGGGAAUCAACUUUUUGGCCCUAUAAAAGAGUUCAAUGUGGUAUCUUCAGACUUGGAGUAUUUGAGUCUAGAAAGAAAUAAAUUGAAUGGAAAAAUUCCUAGGUCAUUCUUUGAACUCACAAACUUGGUCUCUAUGUUUGUUGGUUGGAACAACUUGGUAGGUAAGGUGGAACUGACCUCAUUUCAAAGGUUGACGAAGCUACAUGAUUUGAGACUUUCACACAACAAGUUGUCUAUCGUGGAUGGAGAAGGAAAUAAUAACUCAUCAUCAAGCUAUCUCUCCAGACUUUCUUUGUUAGGGCUUGCGUCUUGCAAAAUAACCAAAUUUUCGAGUAUUUUGACACGUCUCGGUGAUGUUGGUGAUUUAGACCUUAUUCCAAUGCAUGCGCUUGAUCUUAGUUCCAAUGGUCUCCAGGGUCAGAUCCCUAUGCCAUACUCAUCAGCAGUGUUUUUGGAUUAUUCAGAUAAUAAUUUCUCUUCUGUUCUUCCAAACUUCACUUUAUAUCUUGGAACUACCACGUAUCUCAGGAUGUCCAACAAUAGUAUAAAUGGACAUAUACCGCAAUCAGUUUGCAAUUUCAGAUUGGAUUUCCUUGACUUAUCCUACAACAACUUUAGUGGGGGGCUUCCCUCUUGUUUGAUAGAAUAUGCUUCAUUAACGGUAUUAAAUUUGAGAGAGAAUCACUUUGAAGGGACAUUGCCAUCUGAUAUUACAAGUGAAUGUACUUUCGGGACAGUAGAUUUGCAUGGUAACAAGAUUGAAGGGCAGCUUCCAAGGACACUUUCUAACUGCAAGGAAUUGGAGGUUUUUGAUAUAGGGAACAAUCUAAUAGUUGAUACUUUCCCAUCUUGGCUAGGGGAGCUUCCCAAUCUUUACGUUCUUAUCUUGAGGUCCAACCAUUUCUAUGGUUAUAUAAAUUAUAGUGCCGGUAAUCACCAAUCCAAAGAUUACUUCUCUAGCUUGCAAAUUAUUGAUCUUGCGUCGAAUAACUUCUCUGGCACUUUGAAUACUGAAUGGUUUGGGCAUACAGGACCUACUGUCCUUGCUCAAAACAUAUCAACCGGUCCCGGGGGACUAUAUCAAGAUUCUACUAAGAUCACAUACAAGGGGUCCUCUGUGACGUUUGAAAAGAUCCUGACAACCUUAACAGCAAUUGACUUUUCAAAUAACAAACUGGAAGGUACAAUUCCUGAAUCAGUUGGAUGGCUUGUUUCACUGCAUGUACUGAACAUGUCACACAAUGCCUUCACUGGGAAAAUUCCAUCCCAGCUUGGUGGCAUGACUGAUCUGGAGUCAAUGGACCUUUCUUGCAACCAACUCUCAGGGAUUAUUCCACAAGAACUUGCAAAUCUCACAUUUCUCGGCAUGCUGAACUUGUCUGACAACCAGUUGGUGGGGAAGAUACCACAAUCACGUCAAUUCUCGACAUUUGAUAAUAGUUCGUUCAAAGACAAUUUGCGUCUGUGUGGACCUCCGUUGUCCAACCCCUGUGUCGUUUCACCUGCUCCUCCAAGUUUAGUGCAGGUGGAGGAUUCGUCUCAUGUUGAUGUCAUCUUGUUUCUCUUUUUCGGGCUGGGCUACGGUGUUGGAUUCGCAGCUGCCAUUCUGAUGAGAUGGGGUCGAAUUGGUGAAUGGCUUGUUAAAUCAGCAAGAGCUUUGAGGACUUGA